AAAAGAGACUUCCUAUCUAUCUGUUGUACCUCUUCUAGUGUCUUAUUUAAAUCUUUACCUUCAUAAUCUUUACCUUCAUAACCUCUAGCUUUAAAAUCUUCUAUUAUCUUCUGGCCCUGGUCCAAGAAUGUCUCUUUGUCCGUACAAUUUCUUCGAAUACGGAUCACUUGACUUUUCGGUACAUUCUUGAGCCAGGGACUGUAAUGACA